GAAGUUUUCUUCUGUGAUUAUGCUUAAGAUGUUUUCUGGAGGCCUGGUCUUCCGCUGCAUGUGCCUUUGCCGCGAUGCCCAAAUCCAAGCGAGACAAGAAAGUUUCCUUAACAAAAACUGCCAAGAAAGGCUUGGAACUNAAGCAGAACCUGAUAGAAGAGCUUCGGAAAUGUGUGGACACCUACAAGUACCUUUUCAUCUUCUCUGUGGCCAACAUGAAGAACAGCAAACUGGAGGACAUCCGGAAUGCCUGGAAGCACAGCCAGAUGUUCUUUGGCAAAAACAAGAUGAUGAUAGUGGCCUUGGGUCAAAGCCCAUCUGACAAAUACAAAGACAACCUACAUCAGGUCAGCAAGAAGUUGAGAGGUGAAGUUGGGCUGCUUUUUACCAACCACACGAAGGAGGAGGUGAAUGAGGGGUUCACAAAGUAUACAGAAAUGGAUUUUGCUCGAGCGGGGAACAAAGCAACUCUAACUGUAAGCCUGGAUCCAGGUCCCCUGAAGCAGUUCCCUCACUCCAUGGAGCCACAGCUGAGGCAGCUGGGGCUGCCCACUGCCCUCAAAAAAGCUGUGGUGACCAUGCUGUCUGACUAUGAAGUAUGCAAAGAGGGUGACAUGCUGACCCCAGAGCAGGCCCAUAUCCUGAAGCUGUUUGGGUAUGAGAUGGCUGAAUUCAAAGUUUUCAUCAAAUACAUGUGGGACGCCGAGUCAGGAGGAUUCCAGCAGAUGGACGAUGACCUGUCUGAGAGCGCACCUGAGUCUGAGGGAGAGUCUGAGGAGGAGGAUGACAGCUGACUCUAAGACCCAG